rnacentral:lncRNA from 1 species
UCGGCAAUGCUUCCAACCAAAAACCACAACGUUUCACACUAUCUACCGUUUCGCGUUUCCUAAAAUAACGAGCGGACAAUGCAUAAGUUUCUCCCAAAAUAUCUUAACGAAACUAAACCUAUCAACAAAGGUUUAGAGGUGUCUAAGGCACUUCCUAACACUCUCGGAUAUUAUUUCCGAGUCCUCCCCAUAGUGAUUAAAAAUUCCCGAAGUUAAAUACACUAUUUUUCACAAAACAAACACAUUUUCGUUUUCAAAGCAUACCAUUGCUCUCUAUGGUUUUAAACUUCAAAGUACACUUUCACAUACUACCAAAACACUUGAAAAAACCUAAAAAUUUUAUGAAAAUAUCUCGACAAAAUAAUCGAGUUUUUCUUGCGUCGCAAGUUUCAAGUUUUUCUUUCCAAAUACAAUCCUAUAAUCAUACUUUGACCCACCUAUGAUCAUUUCAUCAAAGCAUGAUCAUUUUUCCCAAAAUUGUGGACUUAGAAAAAUUUCACAAAUU